rnacentral:rRNA from 1 species
CCUACGGGAGGCAGCAGUGAGGAAUAUUGGUCAAUGGGCUUACGCCUGAACCAGCCAAGUCGCGUGAGGGAAGACUGCCCUAUGGGUUGUAAACCUCUUUUGUCAGGGAGCAAAGCCGGCUACGUGUAGCCGGACUGAGAGGACCUGAAGAAAAAGCAGCGGCUAACUCCGUGCCAGCAGCCGCGGUAAUACGGAGGAUGCGCGCGUGAGCAGGAUUUAAUGGGUUUAAAGGGUGCGUAGGCGGAAUGCCAAGUCAGCGGUACAAUCGCGGGGCUCACCCUCGCUCCGCCGUUGAAACUGGCGUUCUUGCGUGGGCGAGAAGUAUGCGGAAUGCGUGGUGUAGCGGU